rfam:Osedax symbiont Rs1 5221_207, whole genome shotgun sequence.
UAAUUCCUCAGUUCGGUAAGGUUAGCGAACCGCCGAAACCCCGAGUCAUGGGCUUUACAUCGUAAGGUGUCGAGUUAAGCGUUGACAGGGGAAGCCAUAGGCUGAGUAUUGAGCUGCGAAAUCAUAUUUAAGAGUGCUGACCUAGUUGUGUGAUAGGGAAGGCAAYACGAUGGAUAGACACAAAACCUGUCAGGUAACGCUAGUUAUUCAUCGGCUCUUCGCAGUCUUAGACCU